ensembl:lncRNA
GAGAAGGAGAGAGAGAAGGAGAGAGAGAAGGAGAAGGAGGGUGACAGAAGGUGGCUGUAUCCAUGGUUGCAUGGCUCGAAUGAUUUGGGUCAGUGCAUGGAUUCAGAUGAUCUGAGUGUGUUUCAGAAGCACGGUGUAUUCGGCAUUAAGCAGCCCCCCUGUCAGAAACCUAUUUAAUAAUACACAGAGGAGCACAAACACACUUUCAAAUUGAGAGCGAUUGCACGGCGUCCCUGAAGAUGAUCGUUCGUUCAUCCCUCCGUCUCGCCCCUCUGUCUGUCUGAGUGAAGAAUGAGCCGGGAUUCACAAAGUGAACGCUUCAAAUCACAUUCCUGUCAGAGCAAACAGGAGGAGUGGAGAGACACUGUGCAUGAAGAGUCAGUACAAACACACACACACACACACACACUGACAUACACAUACUCACACUAUACGCACACACACAAAUGGGAUUUUAGAGUGUAUGCAAGUUCAAAUCCCAGAACUGCCAAGCACGUCAGUAAUUAAGUCAGUGAGUAAGUCAGUAAAUUAGUAAAUCAGUAAUUAAGUCAGUGAGUAAGUCAGUAAAUUAGUAAAUCAGUAAUUAAGUCAGUGAGUAAGUCAGUAAAUUAGUAAGUCAGUAAUUAGGUCAGUAAUUAAGUCAGUAGUUAAGUCAGUAGGUAAGUCAGUGAGUAAGUCAGUAAAUUAGUAAGUCAGUAAUAAAGUCAGUAAGUCAGUAAUCAAGUCAGUGAGUAAUUCAGUAAAUUAGUCAGUAAUUAAGUCAGUAAGUCAGUAAAUUAGUUAGUCAGUAAUUAAGUCAGUAAGAAGGUCAGUGGAGUAAGUCAGUAAAUUAGUAAGUCGGUAAUUAAGUCAGUAAGAAGGUCAGAGAGUAAGUCGGUAAAUUAGUAAGUCAGUAAUUAGGUCAGUAAUUAAGUCAGUAGUUAAGUCAGUAGUUAAGUCAGUAAUUAAGUCAGUAGGUAAGUCAGUGAGUAAGUCAGUAAAUUAGUAAGUCAGUAAUAAAGUCAGUAAGUGAGUCAGUAAUCAAGUCAGUGAGUAAGUCAGUAAAUUAGUUAGUCAGUAAUUAAGUCAGUGAGUAAGUCAGUAAAUUAGUAAGUCGGUAAUUAAGUCAGUAAUCAAGUCAGUAAGUAAGUCAGUAAUCAAGUCAGUGAGUAAGUCAGUAAUUUAGUUAGUCAGUAAUUAAGUCAGUAAGUUAGUAAGUCAGUAUUUAAUUCCGUAAGUGAGUCAGUAAGUUAUUAAAGAGUAAGGCAGCACAUGAGUCAUUAAUUCAUUAAGUGAGUAAGUUGCUAAGUUAGUGAGUUAUUAAGUCUGUAAAUUAUUAAGUCAGUAAUUAAUUCAGUGAGUCAUUACAUUAUUAAAUAAGUGAGACGGUUAGUAAGUUGGUAAGUCAGGAAGUAAGUGAGUAAUUCAGUCAGUAAGUGAGUCAGUUAGCUAUUAAGUCAGUGAUUAUGUCGGUAAGUCAGUAAUUUAGUAAAUCAGUAAAUUAGUACAUCAGUGAGUAAGUCAGGAAGUAAGUGAGUAAGUGCUAAGUUAGUAAGUCAGUAUGUUAAUAAGUAACGUUAAUAAGUAUGUUCUUAAUGAGUUAGUUAACGUUAAUGAGUAAGUCAGUAAGUGAGUAAGUACUAAGUUAGUAAGUCAGUAAGUUAAGUCAGUUAUUAAAUGAGUCAGUAAGUGAGUAAGUGAGUGAGUCAGUCAGUCAUUAAAGCAGUCAGCUUUAGUAAGCUGCCACUGUAGUGCCCUUGAGCAAUGCCCUAAACCCUCCUCUGUUCAGCUCAGGUAUAACUUUGGAGAACAAGCGUCUUCCGAAUGCAUAAACAUAAAAGUUUUCAGUGACAGCUGCUGAUUUAAAGGCUGUGAUUUUAAUACUAUGCAUAGUACAGUAAAAUAGUGCAGUAAAGUAGUACAGCAAAAAGUACAGUAAAAUAGUACAGUUAAAUAGUACAGUAAAGUAGUACAAUAAAAUAGUACAGUAAAAUAGUACAGUAAAUAGUACAGUAAAGUAGUACAGUAAAUAGUACAGUAAAAUAGUACACUUAAAUAGUACAGUAAAGUAGUACAGUAAAAUAGUACAGUAAAAUAGUACACUUAAAUAGUACAGUAAAGUAGUACAGUAAAUAGUACAAUAAAAUAGUACAGUUAAAUAUUACAAUAAAAUAGUACAGUAAAAUAGUACAAUAAAGUAGUACAGUAAAAUAGUACAGUUAAAUUGUACAGUAAAAAGUACAGUAAAACAGUACAGUUAAAUAGUACAGUAAAGUAGUACAAUUAAACAGAACAGUAAAGUAGUACAGUAAUACUACAGUAAAGUAAUAUGGUAAAAUAAUUCAGUAAAAUAGUACAGUAAGUAGUACAGUAAAGUAGUACAGUAAAAUAGUACAGUAAAGUAGUACAGUAAAAUAGUAUGGUAAAAUAGUGCAUAAAAUAGUACAGUAAAGUAAUACAGUAAAGAAGUACGGUAAAGAAGUACAGGGGCGGAAAAGGGGGUGAGAGGGAAAACAUCUUAUUUUUAUCAGGAAGACAUCGCUCUCUCUCUCUCUCUCUCUCUCUCUUCUCCUCUCU